UGCCCCCGACACCGCUGACAUCUACGUACGGGCCAAGAACAACCUGCGGCACGUGGACAGCCAGGCGCUGCGCAGAGAGGUACGGCCCCGUGCUCCUGGCCUGGCAGCUCAGGGGGGACGUGCCACCGAUGGGCCGUGAGAACCACUAACUACUGGUGGCACUGCGGGAGUGGCACUCUGCAUGCCUGUCCCUGCAGGGGGGUAUGGCAAGCUGGGGCCAGCAGUGCCUCGACAUCGCCGUGGCAGCGGGUGGCUCUGAUGCCCUGGCUGUGCCAGCUCGGCGUGCCGCACCGUGUGGGUGGCAUGUGCCAAGCCCACGUGGCGCCGGCGGUGCCACUGACGCAGCGUCCCCAGGCGAGCUGGGCGUGGGCGGCUGUGCGGAAGCGUGGGGUGCAGGCAGCAGCUGUAACCUGAGUGCCCAGCUCCGGUGUCACCCGCGCCACAGGUGUCGGGUGGCAUUGCUGGCGCUGCCAGGAGCUGAGAGGGCUCAGCGGGACGCACAGCUGGUGUCGCGCGAGGGCAGCCCCGAGGGCCUGCGCCGGGCCGACUCCACGCGGCGGUCGCGGAACUUCAGCAAGCAGCCGAGCACAGGUGACUACUAUAAGCACCUGGGGCCCAGCGCGGCAGAGCUGCCCGUCCCACGCAGGAUGGCACACAGCGAGGAGGGCUCUCCGCUGCCCGCAGACACCAUGCACAAUGGGGGCCCGGCAGAGAGCAAGCCCGGCACCGAGCUGCCGCCUCCACCGCCGCCCCCGCCGCUGCCCGAUG
rnacentral:lncRNA from 1 species